rnacentral:misc_RNA from 1 species
AAGUCGUAACAAGGUUUCCGUAGGUGAACCUGCGGAAGGAUCAUUAACACUUUUGAAUCCUGAACUUGUUCUCCCAAAUUCACUUGGGCAGAACUCGUUCUUAACCCCACAAUUUGCGAACGAUGAUUUAUAUCGCGGAUAAUUUAUAUUAUCUUCGAUAUAUUUCCCCUUUUUCUCUUUUUUAUUCCCCAUUUAUUUUUACCCCAAAUUAUCCAUUCGACUGAUAUGAACUUUAUCUUUUUCCUUAAAACGAAAAAGAUAAAACGAUUAAAAAAAUGGUUAAAACAACUCUUAGCAACGGAUAUCUUGGCUCUC